rnacentral:misc_RNA from 1 species
GUGAAUCAUCGAAUUUUUGAACGCAAAUUGCACUCUCCGGUUUUCCGGGAGAGUAGGCCUGUUUGGGGUCCAGCCUAAAAAAAAUCGUUAUUGUUGUUGUUUUAUGGUGACUUUCGUCGGAGAUGGGUUAUCUUAAAUCCCGGUUUAAGCGACUUAAAAAUUUUUUGUACUAUUCUAAGAAUUCUUCUAAGUUCUUUC